GCCAUUUCUUUCUUCAGUAUGGAUUCUAUAUUAGCAAGCUUUUGUUUGUAAUCUGCUCCCAUCUUUUCUUUGUCCUCAUUCAUUUCUUCAGUCAAUGUCUGUAUUUCAGUCUGUCUUUGAGUCAGUAUAUUUUCCAGGUAAUUUAGUAGCCCAGCUCAAAAUCUAGGGGCCAUGUGCGACUGGGCCUUUUGCUAGAUUUUAUCCCUGUUUUCCAUUCUACUAAUAAUGAUUCCAAUAUCAGCUCUUGAAGGUGUGAUAGACAUGUUUGUUUGGACAGAACAUUCCAUUCUUGAAAUGCUUGAACUUUUUUGCUGCUGUUGGUGGUGUUGCUAUGGAAAGAAUCAAUAAAUGUCCAGUGCUCCUGUGCUCCUGUAAUGAAAUAAACAAAUAUUUCACUGAAAUAAUAAAAGUACU
rnacentral:lncRNA from 1 species